UCCCACAAGGAGAAGCAGGCUGGGUGUGCUCCAGCCUCCGGAAGCUCCAGCAGCCCCAGAGAUGAGGGUGGUCUGCCCCCCACACUCCCUGCCCCAGCCCAUCCUGGACCUUCUCCUGACACACAGCAAACCACACUUAGCUGUCAUUGAUGAAUCGGAGCCUCUGCCAGACAGCCGGCCAAGCCGACGCUAACUCACCCCACAGCCUGAAAUAGAAACUCGCUCGUUUUCCAGUGUGUGACAAAGAAGGAAGGACAUCAACUGGGAGUGGCCCAGAAGCUCGAAGCUGAGAGGACAAAGCUCACUGGGGUAAGUUAACAUCACUCCAGAUCAGCCCUGGUGAAGACAGCGAGAAUUGCCCACACCUGAAAAAAUGUGGCAAACUUAUUUUAAAGCUUAGCUGACAAUUUUUUCUAUAUUUGAUACAUUCAGUCCUCCACAAUCUCUACUUUACCAAAAUCCAUGCGGGUGCAUCAUAAAGAGAGAUGCUUGAUGACCAAGUUGUUCUGGACAGAUCAAGGAAAAGAGGGUGGAGGGGCUGCUGCCCCAGGAAGGCUGGGCCCACCCCUCCUCACAGGCACCCUGAUGCCUGUUCAGCUUGGCUCUCUGGAUGACAGGCAGAAGCCCCAGUUGCUUCUCUUCUCCACGGUGAUUUCUGCAUACUUUAUCCAAACCCCUUCCCCACCGCUGUCCAGUUUCUGGCUCCUCUUCCUGCCCGUGCUCUGAGGC
rnacentral:lncRNA from 1 species